rnacentral:rRNA from 1 species
GAUGAACGCUGGCGGCGUGCCUAAUACAUGCAAGUCGAGCGAAUGGAUUAAGAGCUUGCUCUUAUGAAGUUAGCGGCGGACGGGUGAGUAACACGUGGGUAACCUGCCCAUAAGACUGGGAUAACUCCGGGAAACCGGGGCUAAUACCGGAUAACAUUUUGAACCGCAUGGUUCGAAAUUGAAAGGCGGCUUCGGCUGUCACUUAUGGAUGGACCCGCGUCGCAUUAGCUAGUUGGUGAGGUAACGGCUCACCAAGGCAACGAUGCGUAGCCGACCUGAGGGUGAUCGGCAACACUGGGACUGAGACGCGGCCCAGACUCCUACGGGAGGCAGCAGUAGGGAAUCUUCCGCAAUGGACGAAAGUCUGACGGAGCAACGCCGCGUGAGUGAUGAAGGCUUUCGGGUCGUAAAACUCUGUUGUUAGGGAAGAACAAGUGCUAGUUGAAUAAGCUGGCACCUUGACGGUACCUAACCAGAAAGCCACGGCUAACUACGUGCCAGCCGCCGCAGUAA